rnacentral:rRNA from 1 species
UGCGCAGGCGGUUUUUGUAAGACAGAUGUGAAAUCCCCGGGCUCAACCUGGGAACUGCGUUUGUGACUGCAAGACUCGAGUGCGGCAGAGGGGGGUGGAAUUCCACGUGUAGCAGUGAAAUGCGUAGAGAUGUGGAGGAACACCGAUGGCGAAGGCAGCCCCCUGGGUCGACACUGACGCUCAUGCACGAAAGCGUGGGUAGCAAACAGGAUUAGAUACCCUGGUAGUCCACGCCCUAAACGAUGCGAACGUAGGUGUUGGGGAACGGAGACUUCCUUAGUACCGCAGCUAACGCGUGAAGUUCGCCGCCUGGGGAGUACGGUCGCAAGAUUAAA